AUCUGCUGUCGACCAAGCGAAUACGUCGGCAUUGGCUCUUAGCAGCUCCACCAACCGUCAUCGGUCUGGGUCGGGUAGUUGAGACCCGACCCAUACCUUUCGAUCGGGAUCCCCAGCCAUCAGGAUGGGGAUGAGCUGUUCAGCCAGUUCACCCCGUUCCUCCUCCUCUCGCGGGUCUAGCUUGUCGAUCGUCAGGGGGCCCUUCAAUUCGUCGCCCUGAGCGGAGAUCUGGAAGCAUCGUCGAGUGAGCUGUUGAUUUUCGUGCAUCUCUCCGACUCCAUUUUUGGUCGGGAACCGAACCAAGAGGUGGUACGUCGAGAUAAUCGCCUUGAGGGCGUUUAGUCCGGGUCUUCCGAGUAUGGCGUUGUAGGCCGAAGGCAACUGGACGACCGCAAAUGUUAAAU
rnacentral:lncRNA from 1 species